rnacentral:tRNA from 1 species
GUUUUGGUAGCUUAACUUAACAAAGCGUCGACCUUGUAAGUCGAAGACCGGAGGUUCAAACCCUCCCCAAAACA